AAAUAAAAAAAAAAAAAAAAACUUGGAAUUCCACCCUUAACUUAAAAAAAAAAAAUUGCUAAUUAAACUCUAUACUAGUGGCUAACGUGGCAUAUAAAUAAAUAAUAAUGAUGGUAUGGCUGAUGUGGUGGGUUGACAUAGCAUUUUUGUGAUUUCACUUAGGGUUCGAAUCGAACUGAAGAAUUGUAUCGAACUGAUAGGAACUUACUAAAUCGAAAUUAUUUUGAUAUUUUGGUUCAAUCCUGAUUUUUUACUAAGAAUUAAAUCAGAAUUAUAUUAAAAUCGUAUUAAAUCGAGAAUCAAAUUUUUAUAUAUGUUUUUUUGUAUUUUUUAGAUAUAUUAUAUGUUUUCAAUAUAUA
rnacentral:misc_RNA from 1 species